rnacentral:rRNA from 1 species
AACGCUAGCGGUGCGUCUGACACAUGCAAGUCGAGCGAUUCGUAGCAAUACGGAUAGCGGCGAACGGCUGAGUAACACGUGGGAACCUACCCCCGGGACAGGGAUAACAGUUCGAAAGGACUGCUAAUACCCGAUAACGUGCAUUGCACCAAACGGUCCGCCGCCUGGGGAGGGGCCCGCGGCCCAUUAGCUUGUUGGUAAGGUAAUGGCUUACCAAGGCGACGAUGGGUAGCUGGUCUGAGAGGAUGAUCAGCCAGACUGGGACUGCGACACGGCCCAGACUCCUACGGGAGGCAGCAGUUCAGAAUCUUGCCCAAUGGGCGAAAGCCUGAGGCAGCGACACCGCGUGGGGGAGGAAGGUCCUUGUGAUUGUAAACCCCUGUAGGGUGGGAAGAAUUAUGACGGUACCACCAAAGUAAGCCUCGGCUAACUACGUGCCAGCAGCCGCGGUAAUACGUAGGAGGCGAGCGUUAUCCGGAAUCACUGGGCGUAAAGCGUGCGUAGGCGGUUCGGUGUGUUGAAGGUGAAAUCCCGCGGCUUAACUGCGGAACU